GCCACUGCCUGCAAGCUUCCCUCUGUGCACCAUUCCCAUUUCCCUUCUGCUUCAGCCACAUGGUGUUGGUAAAGGGCAUACUGUGAGGUGCCGGAAUAUAACCUCCAUGGAUACAGGUGAAGGGGGCUGAGUUGUGGCCUCCAAAAUUCAUCUGCUGAAGCCCUAACCCCCAGGCCCUCAGAAUGUACUAUUUUUGGAGAUAGAACCUUUAAAAGGUAAUUAAAUUACAAUGAGGUCAUUAGAGUGAGCCUUAGUCCAACCUGAGUGGUAUCUUUAUAAGAAAAGGAAAUCAGGACCUAGAAACACACAGGGUGAAGAUACGGGGAGAAGGCAGCCGCCUGCAAGCCUGGAGAGAGGCCUCAUAGGAAGCUAAUCCCACUGACACCUUGAUCUUAGACUUCCAGCCGCCAGAACAGUGAGAACAUUAAUUACUAUUGUUUGAGCCACCUCGUCUGUGGUACUUUGUUAGGGCAGCCUGAGCAAAUGAAUGCAGCAGAGAUCUUUAUUUUGCUUACUGUUUCAUUCCCAGAACUUAGAACAGUGUCUGGCACAUAAUAAACAUAGUUAUUGAAUAAAUAAAUAAAUAAAUGUUCUAUUACUAGAGUUUUAAGUAGAAAGCAGGGGAAAUCUACUUUCAGAUUUUCUCUCUAUAUAUCUGUGGUUUCUAUUCUUUUGCCUCUCCCAUCACACUUUUUAUCCCAGCAGAGGUUUCAUCCUUGCCUCCUCCUCCCAUUUUCUUCUUCCAGUGAAGGAAGAAUUUUUCCUUACCUUGCCAAUUUCAGGGGACUUUCUCUACAUUUCAUUUUCUUCUGUGCAUUCCUUUGGAUCUUCGUUCUUGGCGAUUGUGGCAGAUUGACUUUUCCAAAGAUGGCUUUAACAUCUCCCAUCCAUACGCUCUUCUUACACUAUGACCUCUCCAAUACGCCAUCAAGAGGCAGAGUCAUCUCCUCCAGCCUCACUACGUUGCUUGAGCUGGUCUCGAACUCCUGGCCUCAGGCGAUCAUCCUGCCUCAGCCUCCCAAAGUGCUCAGUCACAGGUGUGAGCCACCUUGUCCAGCCUGUUCCUGAAAGAGACGACUGGGUCCCUCUGUUCCAGAGCACCUUGGACACCUGCCAGGUUCCGCAGGACCCUUGGAAUGUUAGAGCUUGACUCCCCAGCCUCUCAGAUGCUGGAUUUCUUUGCUGAUUAAAUUGUGCUAAAAUACAGGUAACAUAAAACUCUCCAUCUUAACCACUGAAAAAUGUCCAGUUCAGUAGUGUUAAGAAUAUUCACAUUGUUGUGCAACCAAUCUUUUUCAUCUUGCAAAACUUAAAUGCCGCAUCCCUUAAACACCAGCACCCCAUGCUCCCCUUCCUCCAACCCCUGCACCCAUCCCCUUUCUCCAGCGCCCAUCGACUUCCGUUUCUAUGAGAGUAGACUGUUCUAUGUGUCUGAUGUGAGUGGAGUCUUACAUCUGCCUUUCUGUGGCUAGCUUAUUUCCCAGCAUAAUGGCCUCAAGCUUGCAGCGUGGUCAGGGGUUGCCUGUGGUUUAAUUCUUCUUCUUCUGGACUAUGAACUACUUUCAGGACUCACACAUUCUGUUUCUCUUUUUCUUAAAUUGUCCUCAGGAAAAUUAAAAUACUGUGAAAAGUCAAAAAGAAAAUGAAAACUUCUAUUGAAAUGCUUUUUGACUCAGGUAAAAGUUAAAGUGAGGAACCCUGAAGGUUUUCUCCCAAAUUAGGAAGCCAUCAGGAUGAGGAGAUGGUAAAUAUAGAAAAGGUGACUCAAGUAGAAGAGUGACAUCAGAAUGGAAAACUUCCAAAAAAGCAUUCAAAGAAUGAGGAUGGUUACACAGAACUAAUUCGUUGGGGAAUACCACACAAGCAAAGAUGAAAAAAGACAACCUUUUGCGCAGUCUUGGGGAAGAGCGAGAGUGAACUCAUCAAUGUCCCUCGGCUUUCUGAUUGCUCCUUGUGGGGUGCACAACCUGGUCUUUGGGCAACUUUAGUAUCAACAUUACUACAGCUUCCAUCAAGAAGUCAGGCCUACCCUCAUUAACUCACAGUUGCCUUUGUAAUUAAACUCAGGGACAUGCUCAUUAACUCACUACUUUUGCAUCAAAAUCAAAAUUCCUUAUGGGAUACGUUUGAUUUUAUUAAGUAAUCUUUUUACUCAUAGUAUCUGGCUUGGAGUCAGCAGUAUUCGUUCAAUGAAUGAAUAAACUCACUUUUACGAGGAGAACCA
rnacentral:lncRNA from 13 species